rnacentral:tRNA from 1 species
GGGGACUUAGCUUGUUGGUAGAGCGCCUGCUUUGCACGCAGGAGGUCAGGAGUUCGACUCUCCUAGUCUCCACCA